rnacentral:rRNA from 1 species
CGGACGGGUGAGUAACGCGUGGAAAACCUGCCGUAUACUGGGGGAUAACACUUAGAAAUAGGUGCUAAUACCGCAUAAGCGCACAGCUUCGCAUGAAGCGGUGUGAAAAACUCUGGUGGUAUACGAUGGUUUCGCGUCUGAUUAGCUAGUUGGUGGGGUAAUGGCCUACCAAGGCAACGAUCAGUAGCCGGCCUGAGAGGGUGAACGGCCACAUUGGGACUGAGACACGGCCCAAACUCCUACGGGAGGCAGCAG